AAACCUAAGGUUUCCCACGGCAGGCUCGUCCGCGUGGGGUUAGUCGGACCCUAAGCUCAGGCCGAAAGGCGUAGGCGAUGGACAUCAGGUUGAUAUUCCUGAACUAUCGAUUAAUCGAUACCAGAAGCGGAGGGACGCAGGAGGAUAGACACGCAGCCGACUGGAAGAGGCUGUUUAAGCGUGUAGGUAGAGUAAGUAGGAAAAUCCGCUUAUUCGUUAGAAACUGAGGCGCGAUGAGGAGAGUCUACGGACUUGAAGGUGUUGACUCCACACUGCCAAGAAAAACUUCGCUAUCGAGAUUAAUAGGUAUCCGUACCGGAAACCGCCACAGGUAGGUUGGUAGAGAAUACUAAGGUGCGCGAGAUAACUCUCGCUAAGGAACUCGGCAAAAUCACCUCGUAACUUCGGGAGAAGAGGUACCCUGGUAGCGUGAAAGACUACGCGUCUGGAGCGUGAUAGGGUCGCAGUGAAUAGGCCCAUGCGACUGUUUACCAAAAACACAGGUCUCUGCAAAGUCGAUCAAGACGAUGUAUAGGGGCUGACGCCUGCCCGGUGUCGGAAGGUUACGCGGAAGGGUAAGAGGCAACUCGAAGCUCUGAAGCUAAGCCCCGAUGAACGGCGGCCGUAACUAUAACGGUCCUAAGGUAGCGAAAUUCCUUGUCAGGUAAGUUCUGACCCGCACGAAUGGCGUAACGAUUUGGGCGCUGUCUCGGCGAGAGGCUCGGCGAAAUUGGAUUAUCCGUGAAGAUACGGAUUACGUGUACCAGGACAAGAAGACCCUAUUGAGCUUUACUGUAGCUUGAAAUUGAAUUCGGGUUCUUAUUGUGCAGUAUAGGUGGGAGACAUUGAAGCAGGGACGUCAGUUUCUGUGGAGUCAUCGUUGAGAUACCACUCUGUAAUAAUUUGAAUUCUAACACUGAUCCCUCCAAGAACAGGGCAGUGGACAGUUUCUGGUAGGCAGUUUGACUGGGGCGGUCGCCUCCUAAAAAGUAACGGAGGCGUUCAAAGGUUCCCUCAGGUUGGUCGGAAAUCAACCAUUGAGUGCAAUAGCAAAAGGGAGCUUGACUGCGAGACAAACAAGUCGAGCAGGUGCGAAAGCAGGAUAUAGUGAUCCGGUGGUUCUGAAUGGAAGGGCCAUCGCUCAUCGGAUAAAAGUUACCAUAGGGAUAACAGGCUUAUCUCCCCCAAGAGUCCACAUCGACGGGGAGGUUUGGCACCUCGAUGUCGGCUCGUCGCAUCCUGGAGCGGUAGUACGUUCCAAGGGUUGGGCUGUUCGCCCAUUAAAGCGGCACGCGAGCUGGGUUCAGAACGUCGUGAGACAGUUCGGUCUAUAUCCGGUAUACGCGCAAGAGAUUUGAACGGAGUCUUCCUUAGUACGAGAGGACCGGGAAGAGGGGACCUCCAGUGUACGGGUUAUCGCGCCAGCGGUAAACGCCCGGUAGCUGUGUUCCAAGCGGAUAAGUGCUGAAAGCAUAUAAGUACGAAGCCCACCGUAAGAUGAGAUCUCUCAUAGCACAAGCUAGUAAGUCCCCUGGCAGAUUACCAGGUUGAUAGGUCAGAGAUGUAAGAGUGGCAACAUUUUCAGUCGACUGAUACUAAUCGGACGAGGGCUUUUCCU
rnacentral:rRNA from 1 species